ACUCAUCACCAAUUGGUUUUGGUUGCAUGUGCUCACAAAUUAAAGAUUAUAGGAACAUUGGUAAACUAUAUUUCAUCAUAGCUUAGGGCACAAAUUGUUGGUUAAUUUCUUCGGCUGUUUCUGUCUACCUCUUCCAAGAAUCCGUUUCAAGGAAGUCUUGCUACCAUAUGAAUGAAGCAAAGCCCAACGCACGUUGUGAAACUACCCGUUUUUCAAACUCUGUACAAAUUUACGGAAAUACCCCUGCGUGGGUUCGUAGGAUCAUCCCAUGGUUUUCUUUUCACUCCCCUGACAGUGCUGACACUUAUCUCUCUCUUUCUCGAACCUGUCCCUCACCUCUCUUUUCUGUAUUCUCUCUCUCUCUCUCUCUCUCUCUCUCUCUUCCCGAGAACCACCGAGGGAACCACUCACACCAACACACUUUCCCAGUGAAAUCUAGAACAAUCUUACCAAAUUAGAGUGUAACUCGACCACAUGAGUCAAUUUUUGGGCUUGCAUGGACGAUCAGAUGAUGGGAAGACACUGGACUUAAUGAAACCGUGAGCUCCAAAUCCCUUUGUCCAGCUCUGGCGUGAUUCGUGUUUAAAUUUCUGUAAUUUUGGAAGGAGGUAUUCAGCACAAAGAAAAUUGGAGCUUUUUUUGUUGAGUGGUUACCUUGACUUCCGAAACAGGAUUCAGCAGUUGAUGCUCCCCUUUCAGUUUGUUGAAACGAUCGAUAACUGAUUUCAUGCUGAUAAGAAAGUCAAAGCGUUAUGGUCGUUAGAUGCAACAAUCAUGUACCUUGUAAAUAUUAUUUAGGUUUUGAUUGUAAUGAGAUAUUUUCUGUCCUUUCCUUUUUCAAUGGAUAUAUACACUUCGUAUGUUUCUCGACCAAUGUGAUUGCUAUAUAGUGUUAAUACUGUUUAUGUUAUGAAUAAUAUCUAUGUAUAUGUAUGGUACGUAA